CUACGUGCCAGCAGCCGCGGUAAUACGGAAGGUCCAGGCGUUAUCCGGAUUUAUUGGGUUUAAAGGGAGCGUAGGCUGGAUAUUAAGUGUGUUGUGAAAUGUAGACGCUCAACGUCUGACUUGCAGCGCAUACUGGUUUCCUUGAGUACGCACAACGUUGGCGGAAUUCGUCGUGUAGCGGUGAAAUGCUUAGAUAUGACGAAGAACUCCGAUUGCGAAGGCAGCUGACGGGAGCGCAACUGACGCUUAAGCUCGAAGGUGCGGGUAUCAAACAGGAUUAGAUACCCUGGUAGUCCGCACAGUAAACGAUGGAUGCCCGCUGUUGGUACCUGGUAUCAGCGGCUAAGCGAAAGCAUUAAGCAUCCCACCUGGGGAGUACGCCGGCAACGGUGAAACUCAAAGGAAUUGACGGGGGCCCGCACAAGCGGAGGAACAUGUGGUUUAAUUCGAUGAUACGCGAGGAACCUUACCCGGGCU
rnacentral:rRNA from 1 species